AACGAACGCUGGCGGCAGGCCUAACACAUGCAAGUCGAACGUGAAGCCAUCUUCGGGUGGCGGAAAGUGGCAGACGGGUGAGUAACGCGUGGGAACGUGCCCUUCGGUUCGGGAUAACUCAGGGAAACUUGGGCUAAUACCGGAUACGCCCUUCGGGGGAAAGAUUCAUUGCCGAAGGAUCGGCCCGCGUCGGAUUAGCUAGUUGGUAGGGUAAUGGCCUACCAAGGCGACGAUCCGUAGCUGGUCUGAGAGGAUGACCAGCCACACUGGGACUGAGACACGGCCCAGACUCCUACGGGAGGCAGCAGUGGGGAAUAUUGGACAAUGGGCGCAAGCCUGAUCCAGCCAUGCCGCGUGGGUGAAGAAGGCCUUAGGGUUGUAAACCCCUUUCAGCGGGGAAGAUAAUGACGGUACCCGCAGAAGAAGUCCCGGCUAACUCCGUGCCAGCCGCCGCCGUAAUAC
rnacentral:rRNA from 1 species